UACGUAGGGUGCGAGCGUUGUCCGGAAUUACUGGGCGUAAAGAGCUCGUAGGUGGUUUGUCGCGUUGUCCGUGAAAUUCCCUGGCUUAACUGGGGGCGUGCGGGCGAUACGGGCAGACUGGAGUACUGCAGGGGAGACUGGAAUUCCUGGUGUAGCGGUGGAAUGCGCAGAUAUCAGGAGGAACACCGGUGGCGAAGGCGG
rnacentral:rRNA from 1 species